AUGACACGUAUAUUUGAAUUGGACGAAAUCCUAAGUACCCCCGCGUCGUCUUCUCUUUCAGAGCAGCGAAAGAAAACAGCAGGGCCGUCGACGGCUGGCAUUAUCGGAGGCAUCAUUGGUGUGGUCCUCUUGCUGGCGAUCGUGGGCGCUGCCAUCGUGCUGGUCCGCAAACGCAAGCAGAACGCAGAGAACGGAGAUGGUCCUCCCAAGCACAAGCCCCCUCCGCCUGUGAAGACCGGCAGCUCCACAGAGAUGCUGAACAAGCAUGUCACGGACCCAGUGACGAAGGAGUUGACGGAGACCCAGCCUUUAAGUAAGGUCUACUACGAGACCAGCGGAGAGCCUGUCACGGAUCUGGAUGCCUGCGACGAUGACGAUGACAACGCUGCCGGCGGUGGGGCUGCUAAUGGCGGCGGCCCUGCUGUCCUGGAGGGCUCGAUACGGUAUGCCGAUGUCGACGACACGCUAAAUGACGGAGCCCUGCCUCCGUACUCCGGCGCGGGCGGUCACCACGUUGAUGAGCCGCCGUCGACCACUGUGGCCCGCGGAGAAAGCUUUGUGUCGGCAGCCAUGUAUGUUUAG
rnacentral:lncRNA from 13 species